rnacentral:snoRNA from 1 species
CUGGAGUGAUGGCAAUAUUUUCUGUCAACAGCAGCUCACCUAGAGAGUGUUGAUACUUGGGGUCUGAGUGA